AACAGUUGCAAUUGAGUUCCCGAUAGGGUCCGCACGUGCGGAAAUGCCUUGUAACCGACAAAUAAGGGGGAAAUAAACAUG
rnacentral:sRNA from 2 species